rnacentral:rRNA from 1 species
CCCUUAGAUGUUCUGGGCCGCACGCGCGCUACACUGAUGCAUUCAACAAGUCUAAAACCUGCUCUGAUAGGGGUGGGUAAUCUUUUGAAUGUGCAUCGUGAUUGGGAUAGAUGAUUGCAAUUUUUCAUCUUCAACGAGGAAUGCCUAGUAAACGCAAGUCAUCAGCUUGCAUUGAUUACGUCCCUGCCCUUUGUACACACCGCCCGUCGCUCCUACCGAUUGAAUGAUCCGAUGAAUAUCAUGGAUUGAGGAUGCAAGCAGGUUCGCCUGUCUUCAUCUUCGAGAAGUGAAGUAAAUCUUAUCAUUUAGAGGAAGGAGAAGUCGUAACA